GGGUUCGUGGUGUAACUGGAAACACGUCCGACGAGUAAUCGGAAGAUCCGGGGUUCGAGUCCCGGCGAAGGCA
rnacentral:tRNA from 1 species